GAUGAACGCUGGCGGCGUGCCUAAUACAUGCAAGUCGAGCGAACGGACGAGAAGCUUGCUUCUCUGAUGUUAGCGGCGGACGGGUGAGUAACACGUGGAUAACCUACCUAUAAGACUGGGAUAACUUCGGGAAACCGGAGCUAAUACCGGAUAAUAUUUUGAACCGCAUGGUUCAAAAGUGAAAGACGGUCUUGCUGUCACUUAUAGAUGGAUCCGCGCUGCAUUAGCUAGUUGGUAAGGUAACGGCUUACCAAGGCAACGAUGCAUAGCCGACCUGAGAGGGUGAUAGGCAACACGGGAACGGAGACACGGUCCAGACUCCUACGGGAGGCAGCAGGAGGGAAUCUUCAGAAGUGGGCGAAAGCCUGACGGAGCAACGCCGGGUGAGUGAUGAAGGUCUUCGGAUCGUAAAACUCUGUUAUUAGGGAAGAACAUAUGUGUAAGUAACUGUGCACAUCUUGACGGUACCUAAUCAGAAAGCCACGGCUAACUACGU
rnacentral:rRNA from 1 species